ACUGGAAACGGUAGCUAAUACCGCAUGACGUCUUCGGACCAAAGUGGGGGACCUUCGGGCCUCACGCCAUCAGAUGUGCCCAGAUGGGAUUAGCUAGUAGGUGGGGUAAUGGCUCACCUAGGCGACGAUCUCUAGCUGGUCUGAGAGGAUGACCAGCCACACUGGAACUGAGACACGGUCCAGACUCCUACGGGAGGCAGCAGUGGGGAAUAUUGCACAAUGGGCGCAAGCCUGAUGCAGCCAUGCCGCGUGUAUGAAGAAGGCCUUCGGGUUGUAAAGUACUUUCAGCGAGGAGGAAGGCAUUGUGGUUAAUAACCGCAGUGAUUGACGUUACUCGCAGAAGAAGCACCGGCUAACUCCGUGCCAGCAGCCGCGGUAAUACGGAGGGUGCAAGCGUUAAUCGGAAUUACUGGGCGUAAAGCGCACGCAGGCGGUUGAUUAAGUCAGAUGUGAAAUCCCCGAGCUUUAACUUGGGAACUGCAUUUGAAACUGGUCAGCUAGAGUCUUGUAGAGGGGGG
rnacentral:rRNA from 1 species